UACGUAGGGGGCAAGCGUUGUCCGGAAUCAUUGGGCGUAAAGCGCGUGUAGGCGGUUACGUAAGUCUGCUGUGAAAGUCGGAGGCUCAACCUUCGAAAGCCGGUGGAUACUGCGUGACUAGAGUACGGAAGAGGAGAGUGGAAUUCCUGGUGUAGCGGUGAAAUGCGCAGAUAUCAGGAGGAACACCGAUGGCGAAGGCAGGUCUCUGGGCCACUACUGACGCUGAGAAGCGAAAGCAUGGGGAGCGAACAGG
rnacentral:rRNA from 1 species